UACGUAGGGGGCAAGCGUUAUCCGGGUUUACUGGGUGUAAAGGGAGCGCAGACGGAUGGAUAAGUCUGAAGUGAAAGCCCGCGGCUCAACUGCGGGACUGCUUUGGAAACUGUGCAUCUUGAGUACGGGAGGGGCAGGCGGAAUUCCUGGUGUAGCGGUGAAAUGCGUAGAUAUCAGGAGGAACACCGGCGGCGAAGGCGGCCUGCUGGACCGAAACUGACGUUGAGGCUCGAAAGCGUGGGGAGCAAACAGG
rnacentral:rRNA from 1 species